rnacentral:lncRNA from 1 species
AUGGUUGAAGGCUUUCUCUGCUGUUAUUGGUAUUUCACAGCUUUGGUUAAGAAAACUAGUUGGAAGGAGGGUAGUUUAAGGAGGCUAAAGGGGUCUGACUUGUUUUCAAGUGUGAAGCCUGGGUAUCCAUGCUAUACAGUCAACAGCGUGCUGGUUUUGUACCUGUUCACCCUCCUUGUUACUUUGAAAACUUCAAGAACAACUUGUACAAUGGUUCAACUUGGUGACAUUCAGCCUGCACGUCUUCAUACAGAGGAUUCAAUACAAGAAACAAGCUGUGUUGGAAAGUACGAGACAGCUCUGUGCCACAGCAUGGCUUUGGAUAACUUUGCAGGAUCUGUGGAAGAAGAGCAGAGUUCUUUGGCUGUGGCCUGCCUGCAUUUGGAAAUGCCUGGUCCUGAUGAAGACAAAACCUGUGGGGAACCUUCAAGUCCAGUCAGGUAG